GGGGGCUCGCUGUGUCGCACACGCUGGAGUGCAGUCGUGCAAUCAUGGCUUACUACAGCCUCAAACUCCUGGGCUCAAGCGACGCUCACACCUCAGCCUCCUAAGUAGCUGGGAUUACAGACACAGCGUUUCGACAUGUUGCCCCAGGCUGGUCUUGAACUCCUGAGCUCAAGCAGUCCUCCUGCCUCAGCCUCCCAAGGUGCUGGGAUUAUAGGCAUGAGCCACUGUAUCCAGCCUAAAUGUUCCUCUUUUUAUAAGGAUAGCCGUCAUAUUGGAUUAGGGCCCACACUAACGACCUCAUUCUACCUUGGUUACCCCUGGAAGAACCCUAUCUCCAAAUGCAGUCACAUUCUGAGGAGCAGGUCUGCUUGUCAAGAGUCCAAGCACGCCUGUGUUCUGUGGCCACAGGAGAGGAGGGGCCGCUUUUAAAUACAAGCCUACUCCUGUCGUUGGACCAGAACAAAGACCUACUGGCCAGAAGCACAUGAGAGGAGUUUCACUCUUGUCGCCCAGACUAGAGCGCAAUGGUACGAUCUUGGCUCACUGCAACUUCCACCUCCCGAGUUCAAGCAAUUCUCCUGACAGAAGUCCACUCAAGCCAGCCAUUGUAGCUAGCAUCGGGGCUCCAGCC
ensembl:lncRNA novel transcript, antisense to C22orf25